AGUGAACGCUGGCGGUAGGCCUAACACAUGCAAGUCGAACGGCAGCACAGUAAGAGCUUGCUCUUACGGGUGGCGAGUGGCGGACGGGUGAGGAAUACAUCGGAAUCUACUUUUUCGUGGGGGAUAACGUAGGGAAACUUACGCUAAUACCGCAUACGACCUACGGGUGAAAGCAGGGGAUCUUCGGACCUUGCGCGAUUGAAUGAGCCGAUGUCGGAUUAGCUAGUUGGCGGGGUAAAGGCCCACCAAGGCGACGAUCCGUAGCUGGUCUGAGAGGAUGAUCAGCCACACUGGAACUGAGACACGGUCCAGACUCCUACGGGAGGCAGCAGUGGGGAAUAUUGGACAAUGGGCGCAAGCCUGAUCCAGCCAUACCGCGUGGGUGAAGAAGGCCUUCGGGUUGUAAAGCCCUUUUGUUGGGAAAGAAAAGCAGCAGGUUAAUACCCCGCCGUUCUGACGGUACCCAAAGAAUAAGCACCGGCUAACUUCGCG
rnacentral:rRNA from 1 species